ensembl:lincRNA
NNNNNNNNNNNNNNNNNNNNNNNNNNNNNNNNNNNNNNNNNNCCGCCGCCCGAGCCCAGCCGGGAUGGGGAGGGAGCCCGCGCCUGCCGGCGGCUGCGGAGACUCCCGCUGACGCCCCCGAGCCCGCCGCCUCCUCCGCUCGUCUGAAGAGGCGCCCGACGUCCCAACUGCUCCUGCAGUGAGAGUCCGGAAAGACCCCCGGACCCCUGAGGCCGCGCGUUCAGGACAGUUCCGUGAUGCUUCAGCUGGAGCAGGAGAAGGCUUAUCACCUUGCAACCUGGGAUCUUGCAUCCCUUUUGAAAACACUUCCCUGGGAGUCUAAGCAGCAACCAACUCAUAAGCAGUCUCCCAUGACUAUCAACUACAAGAAGGAUUUUCAGUCUUCUUUCAGUUCUUCCGCAUCGUGUUGCGCAGCUGCACUCUGCCGCCCCACAGAAUGUCCACGAACCACGUUCCCUGUAAGUACCAUACCCAGGACUCUGCCGACCUAGGCCCCUUCCCUAAAUUCACCAGGCACAGAGCACCCAGCGCCCCACCCCAACGAAAGAAUGCUGAGACUGAGACUGCUUCCCAAGCAGCAUCUUAAGAAGUUGUCCAGUUUAAAAAACGAAAAAGCAAUUAACUUUUUAUUCAACGUUCAGAAAACAUCUUAUCCCUCCCGGAAAUGUGAAUGCCUGUUGCCCAUUCCUCCAUGCAGAGUUCGUGGACUAACCUUAAAACUAAAUGGUACCAAGUUUUGAAGAAUUUUCUCUGUCAGGUAAGUAUGUUUGUGUAGAAGCAGCGUCUUUCUCUGCCCAGCUCACCCGGAUGUCUUGUGGUGGGGCUCGCCGCUGUACUGCCCGAGCAGAGCAGAAGGGACGUCAGUUAGUGACCCAAGGAAUGUCAGUGCCAGGAAGAUGGCUAUACUUUAUUCAGGAAAAUUUAUGUUAAUAAACUACACAAGGGUUGGUUAUGAUACCAACAAGUCCUAUCCUUCAGGACAUUAACUUUUUUAAAAUUUUUAUUUAUUUCAGAGAGAGAGUGAGAGAGAGCAUGAGUGGAGGGAGAGGCAGAAGAGAGGGAGAAGCAGGCUCCCUGCUGAGAAGGGAACUGGUCUGGGACUCGAUCCUGGGACUCCCGGGGAUCAUGACGUGAGCUGAAGGCAGACACCUAACUGACUGAGCCAUCCCAUUACCCCAUGCACAUGCUUUCUUAAACAAUGUCUUAAGUUAAAGGAAAUUUAUUAAAAGAGUUUUACUUAUAGACCACAUCUUAUUGGAUUAUUUUAACUUAAUUUAAUUAUUUUAAAUCCUUAUUUCAAGUAUCAGUGAAGAACAUGAUUGCAAAUCUCAUGUAUAUGUGGAUUUCUUAGGAUACUCACCAAACAUUCAAAUGUUAUCAUCCCAGGAAUUCUGGCCUCUAGGACUCUAGUUUAAUGAACAUGCCAGGUUGUUUCUGCUACAGGGUUAAUGUUCUGAGAGAAACUGCAGCAGACACGUUUUCUAUAGCAGGAGUUCUCAACUAGAGAACAUUGUCCCCUGGGACAAUGUCUGGAAGUAUUUUUGAUGGUCACAACUUGGUGGUGGGGGCGGGGGGCUUCUGGCAUCAAAAUGUGCAGAGGUCCAAGAUGCUCCUAGACAUGCUACAACGUACAGGACUCCCUUCCUCCACCCGAUCCCCCCUCCCCGGGAGACAAAGGAUUCCUGAUGCAAAAUGACAGUGGUAUUGAGGGUCAGAAAGCCCACCCUAUAGCCACACUGACC